UAAAUCAGUUAUCGUUUAUUUGAUAGUACCUUACUACUUGGAUAACCGUGGUAAUUCUAGAGCUAAUACAUGCUAAAAACCCCGACUCCGGGAGGGGUGUAUUUAUUAGAUAAAAAACCAAUGCCCUUCGGGGCUCUUUGGUGAUUCAUGAUAACUUAACGGAUCGCAUGGCCUUGCGCCGGCGACGGUUCAUUCAAAUUUCUGCCCUAUCAACUUUCGAUGGUAAGGUAUUGGCUUACCAUGGUUUCAACGGGUAACGGGGAAUUAGGGUUCGAUUCCGGAGAGGGAGCCUGAGAAACGGCUACCACAUCCAAGGAAGGCAGCAGGCGCGCAAAUUACCCAAUCCCGACACGGGGAGGUAGUGACAAUAAAUACUGAUACAGGGCUCUUUUGGGUCUUGUAAUCGGAAUGAGUACAAUUUAAACCCCUUAACGAGGAACAAUUGGAGGGCAAGUCUGGUGCCAGCAGCCGCGGUAAUUCCAGCUCCAAUAGCGUAUAUUAAAGUUGUUGCAGUUAAAAAGCUCGUAGUUGAACCUUGGGCCUGGCUGGCCGGUCCGCCUCACCGCGUGUACUGGUCCGGCCGGGCCUUUCCUUCUGGAGAGCCGCAUGCCCUUCACUGGGUGUGUCGGGGAACCAGGACUUUUACUUUGAAAAAAUUAGAGUGUUCAAAGCAGGCCUUUGCUCGAAUACGUUAGCAUGGAAUAAUAGAAUAGGACGUGCGGUCCUAUUUUGUUGGUUUCUAGGACCGCCGUAAUGAUUAAUAGGGAUAGUCGGGGGCAUCAGUAUUCAAUUGUCAGAGGUGAAAUUCUUGGAUUUAUUGAAGACUAACUACUGCGAAAGCAUUUGCCAAGGAUGUUUUCAUUAAUCAGUGAACGAAAGUUAGGGGAUCGAAGACGAUCAGAUACCGUCGUAGUCUUAACCGUAAACUAUGCCGACUAGGGAUCGGGCGAUGUUUCUAUCUUGACUCGCU
rnacentral:rRNA from 1 species